CUAAGGAGCAUAACAGUAAGAAUAACUUACAAAAACUCUACUCUCUCGUCAUAUUCAGUUUUGAAGGAUUUUCCUUCAAUAUUAUUUAAUAAAAAUAAUAAGUUCUUUGAAAAGUAGAUAAAUUCUGUCGUAACAAAUAAAUAAAGCAAAAUUAGAAAUAAUUGAGCGCGUAAAAAGGU
rnacentral:misc_RNA from 1 species